rnacentral:rRNA from 1 species
CAGUCGCCGCGGGAAUACCAGCAGCCCAAGUGGUGGUCGCGUUUAUUGGGCCUAAAGCGCUCGUAGCCUGGCCGGUAAGUUCCCCGUGAAAUCGGGUCGCCCAACGAUUCGGCUUGCGGGGAAUACUGUCGGUCUUGGGGCCGGGAGACGCCGAGGGUACUCCGGGGGUAGCGGUGAAAUGCUGUAAUCCUCGGGGGACUACCAGUGGCGAAGGCGCUCGGCGAUAACGGGCCUGACGGUGAGGGGCGAAAGCUGGGGGCGCGAACGGGAUUAGAUACCCGAGUAGUCCCUGUCUCUUAUA